AGUGCAAGCUGGAGGUAGGAAUAAAAAAUGAAAGUAGAAAGAAAGAACAGUAACAGAUUGAUAUUAAGGGUGGAGAGAGAAGGACGGGUAAGGAAUACAUAAGAAUAUAAUUUUUAGUGAGGGAUAAAGUAGGGAAACUUACGCUAAUACCGCAUACGACCUACGGGUGAAAGCAGGGGAUCUUCGGACCUUGCGCGAUUGAAUGAGCCGAUGUCGGAUUAGCUAGUUGGCGGGGUAAAGGCCCACCAAGGCGACGAUCCGUAGCUGGUCUGAGAGGAUGAUGAUUUUCAGUGGAACUGAGACACGGUCCAGACUCCUACGGGAGGCAGCAGUGGGGAAUAUUGGACAAUGGGCGCAAGCCUGAUCCAGCCAUACCGCGUGGGUGAAGAAGGCCUUCGGGGUGUAAAGCCCUUUUGUUGGGAAAGAAAAGCAGCAGGUUAAUACCCCGCUGUUCUGACGGUACCCAAAGAAUAAGCACCGGCUAACUUCGUG
rnacentral:rRNA from 1 species